rnacentral:rRNA from 1 species
UGGGGAAUAUUGCGCAAUGGGGGAAACCCUGACGCAGCCAUGCCGCGUGUGUGAAGAAGGCCUUAGGGUUGUAAAGCACUUUCAAUUGGGAGGAAAAGCUUGUCGUUAAUAUCGGCAAGCCCUGACGUUACCUUUAGAAGAAGCACCGGCUAACUCCGCGCCAGCAGCCGCGGUAAUACGGAGGGUGCAAGCGUUAAUCGGAAUUACUGGGCGUAAAGCGCGCGUAGGCGGUUAUUUAAGUCGGAUGUGAAAGCCCUGGGCUUAACCUGGGAACUGCAUUCGAUAUUGGGUAACUAGAGUACGAGAGAGGGAGGUAGAAUUCCACGUGUAGCGGUGAAAUGCGUAGAUAU